AUGCCACUGAUCACCACCCGCUGGGCCCGGCUGUUCAGCCAGUUUUCAGUCCACCUCACUGUUUCCUCACCUAGCCCAUACUUCCCUUGGCUUCUCUAUGAGGAUCUUAAGGGAGACAGUGUCAAAAGCCUUACUGAAGCCAGGGUAGACAAUGUCCACCGCUCUCCCUUCAUCUGCCAAGCCAGUCAUUUCAUCAUAGAAGUUUAUCAAGUUGGUUGAGCGACUGCCACUUCAGGAGGACAACAAAUGGGCCCAAAGAUAUUAAUCGACUCUGACUCCAGCAAACUCGCCAGGCAGCCCAGGAGACGUGCGUGGCUAUGCACAUCCAGGAACUGCUGCUGUGGCGUUGGACUCUGCCUGCCUGGGAAUUGUGUGUGGAUGAUGUAUGGGAAGUGCUCCUGGCAGACAAGCUAUUUCAGCGCUCCGUAUGAUCCCUGGGAGAUACUGAACAGCUGAACCUGCUAAGAGCAACUGAAAGCCGUUAAGAACUCCACCAACUUAGGGGGUUAUACUGGUCUUUGUAGCUUCACUAUACCACCGCAGCAAAGCACUGUCAGCUCUGUAAGCCUUCAGCAUGGACACAAGGGAAACAUCAUGCCAGAAACGUUCCCAGAUCACAGGGCAGCUGCCUGCAACCUUCCAGGUUGUUCUGUCCCGUGAUUUAGCCUGCUAGAUGUGCAGCUCCAGCAAAUAGCAGUUUCUAUUCCGUAAAUAGGAUAUUGCUGAGCACUGAGAUGCUCUCUUCACUUGUUAUGGGUGAGAGAAACCUGUCCUUUAAAUGGACACUGUUGUCCACCAGGUUGCCCGAAGCCCUGUGCCAGCCUUUCUGCUCACUGGCCCUUGCUGAACCUCUAGUCUGGCUCCCACAGAAGCUGCGCAGAAAAUGGUCUGCUCCACUGUUGGACUACAGCUGCCUGUGUACAAGUUAAGUCAUUGUUCUCUGCAGCACAGAUGCUGAAGGGAAUUGAGUCUUUGUG